UACGUAGGGUGCAAGCGUUGUCCGGAAUUAUUGGGCGUAAAGAGCUUGUAGGCGGUUUGUCGCGUCUGCUGUGAAAUUUCGGGGCUCAACCCCGAACUUGCAGUGGGUACGGGGCAGACUAGAGUGUGGUAGGGGAGACUGGAAUUCCUGGUGUAGCGGUGAAAUGCGCAGAUAUCAGGAGGAACACCGAUGGCGAAGGCAGUUCUCUGGGACGGUACUGACGCUGAGACGCGAAAGCGUGGGGAGCGAACAGG
rnacentral:rRNA from 1 species